AUAUAUCUGCCUCACUCUCAGUGAAAUCAGUAGUACUGCUAGGUUUUACACAGUAAUAAUAUAUAUCUGCCUCACUCUCAGAGAAAUCAGUAGUACUGCUAGGUUUUACACAGUAAUAAUAUAUAUCUGCCUCACUCUCAGAGGAAUCAGUAGUACUGCUAGGUUUUACACAGUAAUAAUAUAUAUCUGUCUCACUCUCAGAGGAAUCAGUAGUACUGCUAGGUUUUACACAGUAAUAAUAUAUAUCUGCCUCACUCUCAGAGAAAUCAGUAGUACUGCUAGGUUUUACACAGUAAUAAUAUAUAUCUGCCUCACUCUCAGAGGAAUCAGUAGUACUGCUAGGUUUAAUACAGUAAUAAUAUAUAUCUGCCUCACUCUCAGAGGAAUCAGUAGUACUGCUAGGUUUUACACAGUAAUAAUAUAUAUCUGCCUCACUCUCAGAGGAAUCAGUAGUACUGCUAGGUUUUACACAGUAAUAAUAUAUAUCU
ensembl:lncRNA